UACGGAGGGGGCUAGCGUUGUUCGGAAUUACUGGGCGUAAAGCGCACGUAGGCGGCUUUGCAAGUUAGAGGUGAAAGCCCGGGGCUCAACUCCGGAAUUGCCUUUAAAACUGCAUCGCUAGAAUUGUGGAGAGGUAAGUGGAAUUCCGAGUGUAGAGGUGAAAUUCGUAGAUAUUGGGAAGAACACCGGUGGCGAAGGCGGCUCACUGGCUCAUUACUGACGCUCAGGCGCGAUAGCGUGGGGAUCAAACAGG
rnacentral:rRNA from 1 species